UUACCGAGUUUACAACUCCCAAACCCCUGUGAACAUACCACUUGUUGCCUCGGCGGAUCAGCCCGCUCCCGGUAAAACGGGACGGCCCGCCAGAGGACCCCUAAACUCUGUUUCUAUAUGUAACUUCUGAGUAAAACCAUAAAUAAAUCAAAACUUUCAACAACGGAUCUCUUGGUUCUGGCAUCGAUGAAGAACGCAGCAAAAUGCGAUAAGUAAUGUGAAUUGCAGAAUUCAGUGAAUCAUCGAAUCUUUGAACGCACAUUGCGCCCGCCAGUAUUCUGGCGGGCAUGCCUGUUCGAGCGUCAUUUCAACCCUCAAGCACAGCUUGGUGUUGGGACUCGCGUUAAUUCGCGUUCCCCAAAUUGAUUGGCGGUCACGUCGAGCUUCCAUAGCGUAGUAGUAAAACCCUCGUUACUGGUAAUCGUCGCGGCCACGCCGUUAAACCCCAACUUCUGAAUGUUGACCUCGGAUCAGGUAGGAAUACCCGCUGAACUUAAGCAUAUCAAUAAGCGGAGGAAAAGAAACCAACAGGGAUUGCCCUAGUAACGGCGAGUGAAGCGGCAACAGCUCAAAUUUGAAAUCUGGCUCUCGGGCCCGAGUUGUAAUUUGUAGAGGAUACUUUUGAUGCGGUGCCUUCCGAGUUCCCUGGAACGGGACGCCAUAGAGGGUGAGAGCCCCGUCUGG
rnacentral:rRNA from 1 species